UAAAGUGGCGCACGGGUGAGUAACACGUGGAUCAUCUACCUCUUAGUGGGGAAUAACCCUGGGAAACCGGGGCUAAUACCGCAUAAGCCUGGAAAGGGAAAGCAGCAAUGCGCUGAGAGGGGAGUCCGCGGCCGAUUAGCUAGUUGGUAGGGUAAUGGCCUACCAAGGCGAUGAUCGGUAGCCGGCCUGAGAGGGCACACGGCCACACUGGCACUGAAACACGGGCCAG
rnacentral:rRNA from 1 species